AACGAACGCUGGCGGCGUGCUUAACACAUGCAAGUCGAACGGAAAGGCCCUACUUUUGUGGGGUGCUCGGGUGGCGAACGGGGGCGUAACACGUGAGUAACCUGCCCUUGUCUUUGGGGUAACUUCAGGUAACUGGGGUUAAUACCGGAUAGGAGCUCCCGCUGCAUGGUGGGGGUGGGAAAGUUUCGGCUGUUGGGGAUGGAUGGGCGGCUUAUCAGCUUGUUGGUGGGGUAGUGGCUUACCAAGGCUUUGACGGGUCGCCGGCCUGAGAGGGUGACCGGCCACAUUGCGACUGAGAUACGGACCAGACUCCUACGGGAGGCAGCAGUGGGGAGUAUUGCACAAUGGGAGGAAGUCUGAUGAAGCAACGCCGCGUGCGGGAUGACGGCCUUCGGGUUGUAAACCGCAUUCGCCUGUGACGAAGCGUGAGUGACGGUAAUGAGUAAAGAAGCACCGGCUAACUACGUG
rnacentral:rRNA from 1 species